CCUACGGGUGGCAGCAGUGAGGAAUAUUGGUCAAUGGGCGUAAGCCUGAACCAGCCAAGUCGCGUGAGGGAUGAAGGUUCUAUGGAUCGUAAACCUCUUUUAUAAGGGGAUAAAGAGUGGGACGUGUCCUGUUUUGUACGUACCUUAUGAAUAAGGAUCGGCUAACUCCGUGCCAGCAGCCGCGGUAAUACGGAGGAUCCGAGCGUUAUCCGGAUUUAUUGGGUUUAAAGGGUGCGUAGGCGGCCUUUUAAGUCAGCGGGGAAAGUCUGGGGCUCAACCCUAGAAUUGCCGUUGAAACUGGGAGGCUUGAGUAUGAUUGAGGCAGGCGGAAUGCGUGGUGGAGCGGUGAAAUGCUUAGAUAUCACGCAGAACCCCGAUUGCGAAGGCAGCCUGCCAGGCCAUGACUGACGCUGAUGCACGAAAGCGUGGGGAUCAAACAGGAUUAGAUACCCCUGUAGUC
rnacentral:rRNA from 1 species